rnacentral:rRNA from 1 species
CCCGGCUAACUUCGUGCCCUCAGCCCCGGUAAUACGAAGGGGGCUAGCGUUGUUCGGAAUUACUGGGCGUAAAGCGCACGCAGGCGGUCCGAUGAGUCAGAAGUGAAAGCCCCGGGCUCAACCUGGGAAAUGCUUUUGAUACUGUCGGGCUUGAAUCACGGAGAGGGUAGUGGAAUUCCGAGUGUAGAGGUGAAAUUCGUAGAUAUUCGGAAGAACACCAGUGGCGAAGGCGACUACCUGGCCGUUGAUUGACGCUCAUGUGCGAAAGCGUGGGGAGCAAACAGGAUUAGAUACCCUGGUAGUCCACGCCGUAAACGAUGAGUGCUAGAUGUUGGGGUGCAUGCACCUCAGUGUCGCAGCUAACGCGUUAAGCACUCCGCCUGGGGAGUACGGCCGCAAGGUUAAAACUCAA